AACGCGAAGAACCUUACCAGGGCUUGACAUGGACGGGAAGUCGUCGGAGACGGCGGCGCCCUUCGGGGUCCGUUCACAGGUGCUGCAUGGCUGUCGUCAGCUCGUGCCGUGAGGUGUUGGGUUAAGUCCCGCAACGAGCGCAACCCCCAUGAUCAGUUGUACUUCUCUGAUCAGACUGCUGCGAUCAACGCAGAGGAAGGUGGGGAUGACGUCAAGUCAGCACGGCCCUUACGUCCUGGGCGACACACACGCUACAAUGGCUGGUACAGAGGGUUGCCAACCCGCGAGGGGGAGCCAAUCCCAUCAAAACCAGUCUCAGUUCAGAUUGCAGGCUGCAACCCGCCUGCAUGAAGAUGGAGUUGCUAGUAACCGUGGGUCAGCACACCACGGUGAAUACGUUCCCGGGCCUUGUACACACCGGUAUCUC
rnacentral:rRNA from 1 species